GUUGGAGCAAAAUUCACAUCUACCUUGGAAAACAAAAGGGAAAUACACAUAAACGAACCACGAAAACAUCACAAUUCAAAUCGAAUCCCGCUAAAUAAUUUAACUGCAAUCUUCUUCUUCUUCUUCAUUUCCUCGAGUUGCAGCUCCUCACAAGUCGCCACUACACACUCGAUCCCCUUUCAGAAACUAGGGUUAGGGUUUUAGUUCCUCCGCUUCACAGCCAUGGAAGCCGCAGUAAUCGACGCCGGUUCCAG
rnacentral:lncRNA from 1 species